rnacentral:misc_RNA from 1 species
UACAUUGACGUCCAUGCUGUUA